AGAUCAUGAUCUGGGCAGUUCCUUAGUAAACCUUUAUAUCUUUCCCAAGCCUCGUAUAGUGACUCUCCAGCUUGUUGUUCAAAAUUGGCAAUGGCUUUCUUUAACUU